rnacentral:rRNA from 1 species
GACGAACGCUGGCGGCGUGCCUAAUACAUGCAAGUCGAGCGGACCGAUGGGAGCUUGCUUCCUUAGGUCAGCGGCGGACGGGUGAGUAACACGUGGGUAACCUGCCUGUAAGACUGGGAUAACUCCGGGAAACCGGGGCUAAUACCGGAUGCUUGAUUGAACCGCAUGGUUCAAUCAUAAAAGGUGGCUUUUAGCUACCACUUACAGAUGGACCCGCGGCGCAUUAGCUAGUUGGUGAGGUAACGGCUCACCAAGGCGACGAUGCGUAGCCGACCUGAGAGGGUGAUCGGCCACACUGGGACUGAGACACGGCCCAGACUCCUACGGGAGGCAGCAGUAGGGAAUCUUCCGCAAUGGACGAAAGUCUGACGGAGCAACGCCGCGUGAGUGAUGAAGGUUUUCGGAUCGUAAAACUCUGUUGUUAGGGAAGAACAAGUACCGUUCGAAUAGGGCGGUACCUUGACGGUACCUAACCAGAAAGCCACGGCUAACUACGUGCCAGCAGCCGCGGUAAUACGUAGGUGGCAAGCGUUGUCCGGAAUUAUUGGGCGUAAGCGCGCGCAGGCGGUUUCUUAAGUCUGAUGUGAAAGCCCCCGGCUCAACCGGGGAGGGUCAUUGGAAACUGGGGAACUUGAGUGCAGAAGAGGAGAGUGGAAUUCCACGUGUAGCGGUGAAAUGCGUAGAGAUGUGGAGGAACACCAGUGGCGAAGGCGACUCUCUGG